AAAAUGGGCAACGCAAAAAGACUAGGAGCCCAGCGGGUGUCGCUUGGCAGCUCUGGGGGACUCCCUCCCCAAUCUCACAGGGCGCCAAAAAAGCGAAAAAGAAAAGCUGCCGAAAGCAAACAUUCCUCACCUGAGGAACUGGAAGGCUACCACCUGGACCAGAGGAUAGAAGAUGUCUCUCCAGACAAGUCGAAGCCGAUUCACCCUUCUUAGGUGGCUUUCGUCACCUCCAGGUCAAGUGAGGGACAAGCCCCUCUCUCACCUCCCUCCGUCUGUCUUUCCUGUCCAUCCUGCUCCCAUUUCACAAGAUCCAACUUCUGAGAUUUAUUCAGAUUUCAUUUUCUCCGGAAAAGAAGAAGAAGAAGAAGAAGAAGAAGAAGAAGAAGAAGAA